CAGCCACAUCACGUUGGAGCACUUGUUCCCGUACGAUCACCCAAGUUAAACAACGUCGAGCCUGCUCAGUACCUAAAUGGGUGACAGCUAGGGAAUAAUAGGUGUUGUAAG